UGGAAAACAAGAUGGGUGUAGAGAGCGGUGCGGCGAAACAAAGAUGGCGCCGACAUCCAGCCUUGUCUGGAUAUAAAUGACUUACUGCGCAUGUGCAGGCUUGUCCCCUUGCUAGGGCUCCCUCUAGUGGUGAACAGCAGUACUGCACAUGUGCGGUUUAUGCACCAGGUGUUAGUUGACCGUUAAUAUGCUAAUGAGGUGAUUCAUUCUCCGCCAAUCCCUGGAGGACAAGUAGUGGGGUGAUCCAAGCCCCACCAAUCCCUGAGAGAUAAUUAGCAUACUGUUGUCUAUAUAAGCCGAGCGAUUUUGCUGCUCGGGGUCCCUGUUCAAGAGAGCUGUAACACUAAGAGAGCUGUAACACUAAGAAGAGCUGUAACACAGUAAAGGCUUGUUCGCAGAAGAAUCCUGUUGCCGCGCGUCGUUCUUACUGGCGGGACAUUAGGGGUUGAAGGUGGGCCUCUCUUGCUAAAGAAAGGAUACAUAGGAAUCAGUGGUGCUGAAACCCGGAAACCAACAUCGUCGGUGCUGAGGGGACCCUUCAGUGUGCUGAAGAGGAUUCAGAACUGCGAGAAGGUAAAUUAAAAGGUAAGCUUCGAGAGGCAUGCCCCUUUUUGGAAGAGAGCAUGUCAGAAACGGAUCAGAGUGAGAAAUUAGGCUUCCGAGAGGCAUGCCCCUUUUUGGAUUUAACAGAGCAUGUCAGAAACGGAGCGGAGUGAGAAAUUAGGAGCGCGCAAAAAAGAAAAAGGUUACUAAAACAAAAGUGAAAGAGAUACAAAAGGCGGAAGAAAUGCCGCUGGAGGAAAAAAUAGGUAUACCCCGGAGGAUGAAGUACAAGUCAUCCGGAGAGGAUACUUUGUAUCCAUUAAAAGAAUUAGAAGCCUUAGAACUGGCUGGCAGUGACUCUGAGCAAGAGUUGUCAGAGUCGGAGGAGGAGGAAUUAGAGGAAGAGGCAGCCAUAUAUGAGGAAGAAAGAUAUGGGCCUAGGUGGAGAGCCACUGUGAAGAAACCUAAAGUUAUGGAUCCUUUGUGGGCAAGGCUGGUAAUUUUGUUUCUUUUUUUCUUUGUGUGGGAUAGAGAAGUCACUGACGGCAAGCUUAAGCCCGGACCAAAACCUCUUGGGCAAAUGGUCCCUGCCUGCUUAGAGGAUAAACGAUGUGAGGAAGCCGUUAGAGCUGUUAGGACAGGUCAGAGGGUCCUUGCAGAACAACAAGAAAGUAUGUCAGAGGGAGAAAAGGUCUCAAAAGAAAAAAAGAAAAGAAAAGGAGAUAAAAGGAACAGAGAGAAGGCAAAGAUAAAAAAUUGGGUCAGUACAGCUUUUGUUGUGGCUCAAGUUGAGGCUAUUGCUAGGUAUGUGAUUAGGCUCUGGAAACCUCACAGAGUCAUACUGAUCAGAUUUGAUAGAGGUAGACCACCUGAAAAUUUAUUCAGGAGAAUCAAACAAAAAGAUAAACUUGAGUGUGCCUACUUGGAUUCCUGGUCUCAAGGAGAUUUAGCAAGUGACAAGGUGCUUCUCUUAAAAAAGCAGUUUCAAUCGGCCCUUGGAGCCCUGCACCUGUAGCUAAGAUAUGUGUAGCCACUUCAAUUUUGUUUUCUGAUUGGUUUUAAAUGUAUAAAUAUUCUCUACAUGCCUUGGUUAUGGACUAUUGGCUUUUAAGUUAUUGGAUAUGGUUUAAAAAAUGUAACAUUGAUAAUAGAAAGUUGAUAUAAAACUGGUAAAAUUUAAAAUAUGCUCAUGUUUCUGUUGAUACCUGUUCCGGUAUUAUACACGCUACUCUGAUGACUGGUGAAAAGGCUCAUAAUGCCAUUAGCCAUUGCUUAGAGGCAUGGGCAGCCUGGAGAAAGCCUGAUAGUCUCAAGACAGACAAUGGGCCUGCCUACACUGCAAAGUUCUUUCAGGCAUUUUGCCAGACAAUGCAGGUCGGUCAUACUACAGGCUUACCAUACAAUCCCCAGGGUCAAGGAAUUGUGGAAAGAGUACAUCGUACCUUAAAAGAGCUUAUACAAAAACAAAAAGAGGGGAUUGCCAACAGCCGAACACCAAAAGAACAACUUUCUUUAGCUCUAUUUACUCUAAAUUUCUUAAUUUUGGAUGCGCAUGGCCGCUCUGCUGCGGAUCGCCAUGCUGCUACUACACCUAUAACUAAUCCAGAAGUAAAGUGGAAGGAUGUCUUGACUGAUGAAUGGCAUGGCCCAGAUCCCGUGAUUUCGAGAUCUAGGGGAGCGAUUUGUGUUUUUCCGCAGAAUCAAGAAAAUCCAAUUUGGGUACCCGAGCAUUUGACUCGAAGAUUGUCUUCUGCUCUUCCUGAAGAUGAGACUACGAACCCUACUAUUACUACUGGGAAUGUUAAUACAGGUUAAUUCGCUCACCCUGUGGGCUAUUGCCAGAUCCUGGCCAGUACCCAUGCCAGUUCAUAGCAAUUCUACUAUUUUGAGAAUAAGACUGACAAGCAUAAUCUCUGGCCUUGGUUUCAAUGGGUGCUGUCCAAUGAGCAAGGGGCAUGUACAUCCCUGACCCCCUUUGCUAGGUUGAUGGGAGAGAACUUCGUGCUGUAUAAUGUUUCAGCUACCAGAAAAAGUUGAUACCAGGUUGAUCAAUAUUCAAUAUAAUAACCUCUUGGUAAAUAAUACUGCCACUAGUACUUCAGUAUGUGCUAGAUCACAUUUUUUCUGAUAAGCACUAAUGUAAGCAGUGGUGCUUUAAAUUGUAAUAGCUCUGAUGUAGUCUGCUAUUUAGCUGAAUGCUGGGAUGGCACCAAUGACACCGCAGUGAUGGUUAAGAUUCCCUCCUUUGUGCCAAUCCCAGUGGAGGCAAACCCAGAUAGCUUUCCUAUUCUUAAUUUGCUGAGAGACAAAAGAGAUUUUGGAAUUACGGCAGCAAUAAUUUCAGCCAUUGUGCUGUCUGCUGCCGCAGCUACCACAGCUGCAAUCGCUAUGACCAAUCAAAUACAGACGGCUGAGACUGUCAAUCAGAUUGUAGAAAGAACUGCAGUGGCACUAGAGAUACAAGAAGAAUUUAAUACCCAUUUGGCAUCUGGCCUUCUAUUAGCCAAUCAAAGGAUAGAUUUAGUUCAAGAACAAAUUGAAGCACUGUAUCAUAUGACACAGCUGUCUUGUGUUUCCUCCCUGAGAGGUUUAUGCAUUAUUCCUUUUUGAGCUAACUUUUCUCAGCAUUUUCAACAGAGCAAAGAAAUCUCGAAUUAUCUGAAAGGAAACUGGUCCAUGAAAGCAGAGCAACUAUCAAGACAAUUGCUGAUGCAGAUUGCUGUCCUCAACAGCACUAGGCUGGACCCCAUCACAGUUGAAGACUUUACCUCAUGGAUUACCAAUGCUUUCUCCCUUUUCAAGGAGUGGGCGGGCAUGUUUGUCCCGGGGAGCUAUUGUCCUUCUGGGAUGCAGAGUAGGUCUCUGGCUUAUUGGCCGUUUAAAAAGAGAACAUGCCAGACACAAAGUGGUUGUUUACCAGGCUAUGACCGCCAUCAAAAAGGGUACUUCUCCCAACAUAUGGCUGGCCUCUUUGAAAGAUCAAGAGUUCGCCCUAGAUCAUUUUUGUCACAGUCAUGUGGAGUCAUUGUAUCCAGGGACGGGCAACUUUCCUCGAACUCGGACCAACCUAAGACACGGGGCCCGGUGGCGAUAGGGUAACUCUAUGACGGGUAAGGCCGAGUUUGGGUGAGAACGACCUAAGACAGGAGCAAUGACAAGAUUGACGUGACACCCAGAUCUAGACCAGUCAUUUUAUUAAACAAAAAAGGGGGAGAUGUAGAGAGCGGUGUGGCGAAACAAAGAUGGCGCCGACAUCCAGCCUUGUCUGGAUAUAAAUGACUUACUGCGCAUGUGCAGGCUUGUCCCCUUGCUAGGGCUCCCUCUAGUGGUGAACAGCAGUACUGCACAUGUGCGGUUUAUGCACCAGGUGUUAGUUGACCGUUAAUAUGCUAAUGAGGUGAUUCAUUCUCCGCCAAUCCCUGGAGGACAAGUAGUGGGGUGAUCCAAGCCCCACCAAUCCCUGAGAGAUAAUUAGCAUACUGUUGUCUAUAUAAGCCGAGCGAUUUUGCUGCUCGGGGUCCCUGUUCAAGAGAGCUGUAACACUAAGAGAGCUGUAACACUAAGAAGAGCUGUAACACAGUAAAGGCUUGUUCGCAGAAGAAUCCUGUUGCCGCGCGUCGUUCUUACUGGCGGGACAUUAGGGGUUGAAGGUGGGCCUCUCUUGCUAAAGAAAGGAUACAUAGGAAUCAGAUUAUUUGAGUUUCUUCUUUUGGUCAUACUAUACCUGGCAUUGCUGUGUUUAUCUAUCCCUCUUAUUAAAUUACUAUUUUCCUUUUAAGUAAAUUUUAGCAAUAAUUGUAGUGUGUGUGUGUGUGUGUGUGUGUGUGUGUGUGUGUGAUUUGUAAAAAAGGAGAAAGACUUUUAAGGGAAAACAUCUCUACCUUUUUCUAGUAGGCAGGUGUUUAUUAUGGGACUAAGUCCCUUUUGACCCUUCAGAUUCACAGGAGGCCAAGAUUAUGGCUCCUCCGAGCUGCUCUCUCCCUUGGACAUCAGCAGUGCAUGAUUUGUGGCUAUGCUGUCAGAGCAGAAACAGUAUGCUCCUCUGGGUGCGGCCCCUCAAUGUUGUCCUGCUGGCUGGAAUCAGCAGUAAUUGCUUGGAAAAUGAUGGUUUAAUUGGCAGAGGUAUCUGCAGUGUUGCUGACGCUCAUAAUGGCAGCUGAUCAAGCUGUUUUCAUCCAUGGUGUCCAGACACUUAGGUCCCAUGCACAGUCUCGUUCACCAUCAUCCAGCUUGUCAGAACAUAGGCAUAUUGUUUCUUGCUGCAAAUUUAUUUCAUCUUGGUGGGCAGAGGUCUGUUUUCAAAGUCCCACAAUGAGAAAUUAAAAUGGAUAUUUUUUUGUUUGAUGGACAUCCAGUCUUCUAUGAUGAUCUCAGCUUUGCUUUUCUGUAUAAUGGCUCUGUUUUUGAAGCACUGUUCUUUAAAGCCUAUGAAAUGUCAUAACUUUGGCAUCUAAUUAUUUAUUUGUACUGGGGUGGAUUUAUUUAAUUUCUGCUCUGCGUACUUAUGAAAACUAUUUCUGUCAGGACAUCAGUAGCCUUGAUGUUUAUUUAUGAUCUGUUUUCAAUAUUUAAUCACCAUUCCCCAGCAUAGCAUUUUUGAGGGAUCCACAUUGAGACACUACUAUGAAAGUGUGGAAAUACACUGUGAUUGACUGUGUUUUUAAAGAGAAGGUUGGCCCCUGCUGGGUAAAGAGUAUGUCUUCAGCACACAUAGCCAUGAGAAUGUAAAGAAAAUGCUGCAUGUGUCCUAAGAUUACAGGUAGCGUUCAAUGUGUUUAUUUUUGGUUAUGCCCUAAAACUCUCAAAAAGAAAAUAUCCUUUUUUUAAAAAACUAUAAAUUUUAUUUCAGAUUAUAGAAAGAAGAGGGCUCCUAGAAGUUUCAAAAAAAAAGAGUAAUCGUAACACAUGGUUGUGAAGCUCUUGUUUUCAAAGCCAAGCUGGCCAGCCAGGACAUGAGUAAGUGAGUUAGUCAACAACACAGCUUCUCUGGCUUGAGAAGUGAAAUAGGUACCUGCUUACUAAAACCCAAAUCUCCUUUGCUUUUUGCUUUCCACUUCUAUUUUAUGUGAAGAAAAAGAAAGGGACACAGUGACCUAAUUAUUAUCAGGUUAGAUCCUGUAAAAGCUUCCAAUAAAUAGGUAUGCUUAGUCAUCCUCUGCAGGGAAACUUUUCCAGCAAAGAAAACAAUAACUGUCAUAAAACAUCAUCAGUGUAAACAACCAAAGGAAAAACUAGGCCAAGAUGUCCUGACCCUAAUGGGAAGGAAGUCCUUUAUAGGGAGGAUGAGACGCACUUGCUGUACUUUAAAAUGAGUAGAGGUGAAGGGCCUUCGAAAGUCUCAAGAACUGUUGCUAGUGCUAGAGGGAUAGCCCAAUGGUACAGUAUUUACCUGAUGGGUGUGAAGCCCUGGAUUUGAUAUACGAUCUCCAGAAGAAUGGGAAGGGGGUGAAGAUUAAAAAAAAACCCGGAAGUAGAUUUUCAGAUACCUUUCUACAUUGCGAUCUUUCUCACCAAGUCUUCAUGUAAGCUGAGGAAGGCCACAUGCUAGUAUCAGAGACCCUGCUUUGGAAUCACAUCACUUACCUGAAAGCUCACUUAGGAGUCUUAAUUGUGUUUGUUUUCUCUCCCAGUCAAAGAAUUAAAAGGCAGGGGUGGGGGGAGUCUCAAGCAUGACAAGGAGAGAAGAGGAACCCAAACCAGGACAAACAGAAGACAGAAUCAACAGUUGAAGAAAGGCAUUUAUUGGAGGUGAGGAAACAGACACAUGCAGCAAGCACAAAGAGAAGAAGAUUCUUCCCAAAGCAGGUGGAGGACUUGGGAAACUGCAAUCCAGUUUCCUCUUGGAGACUUUAUUUUUAAUCUCUGCGAGAUCUUGCUCCCCUAACUUAGGGUUAAUCAGUUUGAAGAAAGAGAGUAUGGUUGAUUAUCCUGGAACGGUUCUGGUGACAUGUACUGACCCAGCCUUUGAACUUGUUGAGUCAGUCCAUCAACAGGAAGCUUGCUGCUAGGAGACAAAAGCCUACAAGGCCUUUGUUUAAGCUGACUUUUGUGUCCAGUCAGGAAGGUGAGGAAAAAGCAGUCCCUCUUUGAAGCUCCCCACCUUUAGUGAGUAACCAUGGUCCCUUCCUUUAUUUACCUUUAUACCUAAUGCAGUAUCCCUUACCUGAGUCUGUCUGAAUCCUAGUUCCUCCCUGCUACUUUUUUUGAUUGAAUUUUGAAUUAGGUACUUUAUAUUUCUCCAGAUGAGUAGAAAACAGACUGUGACCCCAUUCCUGAGGAACAAUCAGGGGCCCUUAAAUUAGGAAAGCCACACAAUACAUUAAGUGGGCUACUGAGCACAGUGAAGAAAAAAUAAAUAAAUAAAUUAAUUAAUUAAUUAAUAAAUCACACAACAAACAGAAAUAGCCUUACAUCAUGUUAUCCAAUGUCCUUAUGAAAAUCAUGUGUGCAUGAAAACCUACACAUACAUACAUACAUACAUACAUACAUACAUACAUACAUACAUACACACAUACAUAUAUACACACAUGUAAGAGCACAUAUCACCCACGAAUCAGUAUUGAUAUACACAUAAUUUUAUAUUUUAAGGUCUCCUGGGUUUCUAAAGCAGUGUUCCUAGAAAAUAGACUAUAUUGCAAAGUUUAGAAUGAUACUCCUUAGAUUUCUGCCUAUAUUAUGUAGAUAAUCCUAGCAGGACUGAUAAUUCAUGCUUAUGUAGUGAAUAGGUCUACCUAUAGGCCACUCAGAGGAACGAGAAUAAAUGUAUCCUGUUUUCCUAUAGACAAAGCAGCACAUUCUUUGUAAAUUGGAGUAUGGAAUGGCAGCCACAGUUUCCUGGAAAGGGGUCUCAUUCCAUAUAUUUCAGAUAACUAGACAUAAAGACCAAUCAAUACUUUAGGAAAUCUACAUUCACAUAUUCAGAGCCACUGCGUCAGCAUCACUGAUGAACGCUCUCCAAGUAAGCUCAAACUACUGAACUGAUGUCAUUGGAAAAAAAAAAAAAACUUUUGUGAUCAGUGUUGCCCAACAGGACCUCUAGAAGAAAAUAACCUUGACCAUCACCAAGCUGAGAUCUUUUCUUUUCUUCUUUUUUUACUUUUUAAAAUGUAAUUUAAUGUGUGUGCAAGCAUUUUCUUUUUUUUUCUUUUCUUUUUUCAUCUUUAUUAACUUGAGUAUUUCUUAUUUACAUUUCGAUUGUU